UACGGGGGGGGCAAGCGUUGUUCGGAAUUACUGGGCGUAAAGGGCUCGUAGGUGGCCAACUAAGUCAGACGUGAAAUCCCUCGGCUUAACCGGGGAACUGCGUCUGAUACUGGAUGGCUUGAGUUUGGGAGAGGGAUGCGGAAUUCCAGGUGUAGCGGUGAAAUGCGUAGAUAUCGUGAGGAACACCAGAGGCGAAGGCGGUUACCUGGACAGUUACUGACGCUCAGGCACGAAAGCAUGGGGAGCAAAAGGG
rnacentral:rRNA from 1 species